GCCGCGGGCCAUGAGGCAGGCGAAAACCGUCAUCACCAUCUUGGGCUUGACCUCCACCAGGUCUUCAGGCAGAGCGUAGACCCGCGCGCCGAUCUUCCUGGCCAUGGAGAUGGCAUACCUGAAACCAAAGCAGACUUUCAGGUCCUCCGCCUUCACCAGGUCAUAUCUGAUGGAUCCGGGCUGGAUGGCAUCGAUCAGGUCCAGAACCGGCAUACUGCUGCUGAUAGACAGGUCCUACACAAAGAUCCAGCUCAAUAAAUCCACUUCAGGAAGCGUUCGAGACAUCAAGAACAUCAGAAAGCUGAUGUUUUAUCCGAGACUUCAGAGAAGAAACAUCUUUGUGUUAAAAAGACAGAGUCAGGAGAAGGAUCGUGUUCUGUGGGCUUCUUCAACCAACAGACUCGACUCAAAACCUGUGUGUUCCUGAAGCUGUUUGUUCUGCAGCUGGUUGGAGACACUAAAACACAAAAUCUUUAACAUA